CGCAGCCGUGGUAAUUCCAGCUCCAAUAGCGUAUAUUAAAGUUGCUGCAGUUAAAAAGCUCGUAGUUGAAUUUCGGGACCAUCAUGUCGGUCGUGCCUCGGUACGUACUGGCAUUGUUAGUUUCUACCUUCUGACGAACCAUGAUGUCAUUUAUUUGGUGUUGUGGGAAAUCAGGACUGUUACUUUGAAAAAGUUAGAGUGUUUAAAGCAGGCAUUAGCUUGAAUACAUUAGCAUGGAAUAAUGAAAUAGGACGUUCGAACCUAUUUUGUUGGUUUUUAGGAUCAACGUAAUGAUUAAUAGGGAUAGUUGGGGGCAUUAGUAUUCAAUUGUCAGAGGUGAAAUUCUUGGAUUUAUUGAAGACUAACUACUGCGAAAGCAUUUGCCAAGGAUGUUUUCAUUAAUCAAGAACGAAAGUUAGGGGAUCGAAGACGAUCAGAUACCGUCGUAGUCUUAACCAUAAACUAUGCCGACUAGGGAUCGGAUGAUGUUAAUUUUUAAUGACUCAUUCGGCGCCUU
rnacentral:rRNA from 1 species